CUUGCGUCGCUCCGUACAUUUUGAUAUUUUUACUGUUUCAAAGUGAAUUCUGCUUGCUAGAAAUUAUUGGACACGUCUCGUACUUGUGAUUGAUCGAAAUCUUCUUUAUACAUUUCACGCCAAAGUAUAACGAAGAUCUAAAAGCGUAUUUUCUGCAUAAAGAAUUAUCGAAGAUGUCUCGUAAAGUGCUUAUUGUAACAUAAGCACGCGAUCAGUAUCAAUGAACUGUUUAUGUAUGCUGGAAUUGGUCAAAAUCAGUCAAAAUCCUUUUUGCAUAAUCACGUCAUUUUAUCAACGAGUGCAGUGAACAUGCAGUGGCGCAUCAUCAUCAGAUAUAUAAACUGUGCGCGUAAUCAGUGCUAUGUAUAAUUCGUUCCGUCGUAAUAUAAUAAAGUGCGCGUCGGGAGUGCCGUUCAAAGUGUCGCGCGAUUUUCGGAUACGCGCGCGAGCAAUGCGUGCGCCGCGAACGCGUGUGAGUGCUCGAAGGACUACUGAGAGGAGGAGCAGGCCUAGGAAUUACUUGGCGACAGCAAAGGAAUGAUAUGAGUGAGGAGUUUCGCCGUGUGACCGUCGCGGCUGCCGUUGUUCCCGUGGAUCUCCGUCAAGUGGUGGUACGUCGCAUACUUCGUACCUCACCGUCGGCAGUGCACGCUUCUUGGAUACGCGGCCACGCAUGGACAAGCAACGGCGACGCGGCACUGCCCAAUGAUGGCCGUGCCGGGCAUUACCGUUGACGUAGUGAUGUAUUAUUAGUGGUGCGCGUCGCGGGAAAGUGCUGUGUGCCGUCGUCUCGCUCGUGCCCGCCGCGCUCUCUCUCUCUCUUCUCUCUCUCUCUCUCUCUCUCUCUCUCUCUCUCUCUCUCUCUCUC